GGUCAAGUGACUAAGUGCAUGUGGUGGAUGCCUUGGCGAUUACAGGCGAUGAAGGACGUUGUAGCCUGCGAAAAGCUGCGGGGAGCUGGCAA
rnacentral:rRNA from 1 species